GAGGGCAUAGCUCAGUGGUAGAGCGCAUGCUUAGCAUGCACGAGAUCCUGGGUUCAAUUCCCAGUCCCUCCA
rnacentral:tRNA from 1 species